UCGCCCGUGGCAAGCAUCUCGGUAUCGACAUUGCGACGUUUCGGGUGACGCCCGAGGAGAUUGCCGCCACGGGCAAGCGGACUGUUAAGGGCACGGAUGGCGUGUGGCCCUCGCCACCGAAUGACGGGGAGGGCGUGGUCUUCGGGGGAUUCCCAGGGUGAAUUCCGCUCGCGGCCCAUGAAAUUUCCUUUGGCCUGCACAGCGCCAUGGUCCCGCUGACCAGCCAAACCGA
rnacentral:misc_RNA from 1 species